UGGUUAACGAAUCCGACUAGGAACCAUGAGGUUGCGGGUUCUGUCCCUGCCCUUGCUCAGUGGGUUAACGAUCCAGCGUUGCCGUGAGCUGUGGUGUAGGUUGCAGGCGCGGCUUGGAUCCCGCGUUGCUGUGGCUCUGGGGUAGGCCAGUUGCUGUGGCUCUGAUUCGACCUCUAGCCUGGGAACCUCCAUAUGCCGCGGGAGCAGCCCAAAAAAAUAGCAAAAAGACCAAAAAAAAAAAAAUACUACUUAUGAUAUGAACUAAAUAUUCUUCUAUUUUGUUUAUUUUUUCUGAAUGUUUUUAAUUACCUUAAAAACACCUCUUAAACUCUAUGGAGUUUAUUUUGACAUUGCAUAAAGAUGGAUUGCUUAUUUCCAUCUAUUUUUAUUUUUCUUAGAAUUUUCUGUUGCUGAUCCAUUUCUUGUAGCUUUGACUUGCUUCUUUUGAUUAUACCUUACUAGGUUUGAGCUAUCAGUUCUGUUUCAUUUACUAGGGAUAUUUAACUUAAGGUCUAUUGGACUUUGGCAGUUCUCUAUAGAUAGGCUUAAAAAGUUCUGUGGAUUCCUUGGUAUACGUAUGUUUUUGUGAGUGUGCAUAUGUGCUUGUUUUUCUGGAGAAGAAUUACAGUUUUCUUCAGCUUCUCACAGGAAUAGGUAAUAUAAAAUCUAAAAGCAGGUUGCUGGCCGCUGUAACUGGGCCUGCUUUGCUUUGUUUGUAUAGACUGUUUAUACGUGUGUUUGUGUAGACAAUACAUAUAAUUCCUUUUCACAAUUUUCUAAGCUAGUUUUGCACAUCUAUUUGGCAAAAUUUUUAAAAAGCCAACUAUUUGAAUUUUUGUUUAGAAUUGCAUUAAACCUAAGUGAGGGUUAGUUUACAGUUUUAUACUGUUACCUCUUUUCUCCCUAAUAUAAUGCAUUUCCCAUAUAUCCCCCCAAAUGUACUGUUUUUAAGAACUCUGGGAAAAAUUGUAGUACCUGUUAUUUUUUAUUAAGGUGUUGUUUUACUGCUUUCUUAAUGCGGUAUAAUGUUAAAAGGGAUGAUAUGGUGGAGGAUAUAGGACUACAUGUCCAUUUUUAAUCUACUUUAGGACAUAGUGACAUGAAAAUAGUGGAAGUAUGAAGUUAGAAGUGAGGAAAAUAGGUUGCCAAGAUAAAGUAUUUUAUAGUAUUUGAAAUUAAAAUUUUUCUUCUUUGUUUAAUAGACUUUUUUUAAUGGAGGAAUUUUGAGACAUUAUCUAAUUCACUUUCUGGCCAGGAUGGGGCUUUAAAAAUACUACAAAUAUAGGCAAAAAUUUUUGUUUUUAGCCUUUUUGGUAGCAUUAAAUAUUUCUCUCAUAAGGAUGUUUCUCUAAUUAUUAGUAUAAACUCAUUCUCUAUUAAAAUUAUUCUUUGUGCUGGCUGCAGAGAGAUUUAUAGUUUCAGUUAACAGUGUUGUAGUUCAGUUGUAAUUCUACUUAAUCAUCUUCAUAAUAGAUAUAGGAAAGAAUGUUAGGUUAUUGCCAAAAUAUUUUUAUUGAACUAGUUAAACUUAAAUUGAUAGGUAUGUGUAAAGAAGAAAUCAAGGAAGUAAAGAUAGAAAUCAAGUGGUAACAUAUUAUUGGCUUUAUAAAAAUGAACCUAGGAAAUAUGUAGAAAUCGAAUGUUAAGAUAUUAUUGGCUUUUCCUCAGUAUUUUCUUUUUUUUUAAUAAAAAAUUUUGUCUGGAUCAAGAAAAUCCACUUAUAGCCAUUUGCUAUAAUAAACUUUAUUCUCAAAUGUCUUUCUACAUGUGAUUCCUUUGAAAAAUUAGAUAUCAUUAUAUAUGACUUUUCCACAUACCUCAAAACUUAAAAACAAAAACAAUGGCAAUCUUUCUAAACCAAAUCAUACACCUCUUUGCUUUCUUGAAAAAAUUAAAUGCAAUUAAGUAUUCUCUGUAAUUCAGAAUCAUUAAUAAGAUCAUCAAUAACCAUAACAGACAUGCUAUAAAUACUGAUCCUAUUCUAGGAAUAAUGAUUCUGAAAUUAAAUAACCUGAAAAUUAAGUUUUUAUGUUCUUAUUCCAACACUUGAACUCUGACUCCACUUCACUAUCAAGAUGCCAGCCAUCACUUCUUAUCCCUAUCUGUAUGCAUUUUCCUAUUAGCAUUUCUCCUGUCCCUAAUUUGCUGCUGCUUAUCUAUUACAAUCUGAAAAAAACAAGUAUCACAAUAUAUCAGAAGUAGAAAAAGCUGGAGUUCCUGUUGUGCCUAAGCAGAAACGAAUCUGACUGGUAUCCAUGAGGAAACAGGUUCAAUCCCUGGCCUCGCUCAGUUAUUCUGCUUAUUUUCCACCUGCCAAAAAUAUGUUAAUCAUCCUUAAAAGAAACAAAAGUUUCUUAGAGCAACUCCUGCAGCUUAUGGAUGUUCCCAGGCUAGGGAUCAAAUUGGAGCUACAGCUUCUGGCCUACAUCACAGCUCUCAGCAGUGCCGGACACCCAGCCCACUAAUCAAGGCCAGGUAUCGAACCUGCAUCCUCAUGGAUACUAGUCAAAUUUGUUUCCACUGUGCCAUGACGGGAAAUCUGAUAAACGUUAACUCUUACAUAAUACCACAGAGGAAAACUGAGGUUUGUAAGUAAUUUUCCAUAGUAUGGUUUCCAUGUAUUGAACAUGUUUCUAGGUUGAACACGGCUGCUUUCGGUCAAGGGAGAAAGGACAGUAGGAGUGCACACUCAUUUUUUUUCUUUUUCUUUUCUUCUUUUUUUGGGGAGAGGGACCUGUCCUGGGGCAUAUGGAGUUCCUUGGGCCAAGGAUCAGAUCUAAGCCGCAGUUGCAACCUAUGCUGCAGCUACGGCAACACAGGAUCCUUUAACCCACUGCACUGGGCCGGGGAUUGAACCUGAACCUCUGCAGAGACCCAGGUCACUGCAGUCAGCUUCUUAACCCACUGCAGCCAAGCAGGGGACUCUGCACACUCAUUCUUUUGAGAGCAUCAUCUGGAUGUGGUAUGCAUCGUGUUGAUUCAUGUCUUAGAGAUGAGAAUUUAAUCAUUGGAACAUACUUAACUGGAAAACAUAGUAUCUGGUCUGACAAACAUGUGCUCAGCUAAAAUUAGAAAACUACAGAAAAGCAGAGAAAAGGAUAUUAGAGAACAACUAGCAUUUUUUGCUACAAAGGAAGCUGACAAAGUGGGGUCUCUAAUUUAUAAUUGAUAUUGAAAACUUGUUUUCUCUUUUAAGAGAUCCAGUUGUAACUCUGUAUAUCUUCCUUUGAAAUGGAAUUUUGAGAGUUUUAUAAUCAGUGAUUUGUGACUGAGGUUCUAGUUAUUAUAAAGUUAUAUUAUUAGAUAGAAUUCUUCCUCUUUCUACAUGCCUUUGAAACAUAUUAAAUCAUGAUUAGUUUUGCAAGAAAUCAGUGUCAUAUUUUUGAAUCUCAUCAGUUAAUUUAAAAGGAUGAAGGACUGUAGAUAAACUCUGAAUGACAAUCGUUUGAACUGCUCCUUUUAGUGUCAAAGUUUGUUUGCAUUACCUUAUGCAGAUUCUAUCUUUUCUUUAUAACUAAAUGCAUAAAUUCUUUAUACAAAGAUAUGACAUACCUGAUUAAUAUGUAAGUAAAAAUAGCUUUCUGUAGAUAAUAAGUGAAACAGUAGAUAUUUGCAUAAGGUGCAGAAAGUGGGACUCUGUCGGGAGAUCAGGGAAACCUUAGAAGAGUUGUAUUUUAAAGGAUGAAUUAGAGGGAUAUUCUUAGAAAAGGGAAUAAAGAGAGUAUUCAAAAUCUCAGAGGUGGGAAAGAAAGUAGUAUGUUUAGGAGAACAUACUCUGAUGUAAAUCUUUGAUUUUCGUAAAUAAAGAAUCAUUGCUGCCAUGGUGCCUACAUAGUGUGCUUUAAUAAAUGAUAUUAUCCUCAGCUAGAAGUUCUCUAAUUUCUUUUUACAUUGCUCUAUUUUGUGUCCCUUUUAAAGGAAUUUAUCGUUUCAACUUUUAUAGUUAUAGUUGUGUAGUACUUUGUCAGUUUCCUGCACUUAGGAGUUUUAUCUUAUUGAUGUCACAAAUAGUCACAUUUUAAAGACAAAUCCCUUUUAAUUAAGUAUGAUAUGACCACUAUUAAAAGUUUAAGAUUACUUUCCACAAUGCUUACUUUUUAAUAUUCAAUAAAUAUUUGCUUAUUUGAAGAAUAGAAGUCCUUUGUUUUAGGUGGAAGUAAUUUAGUCUUCAAUCUCAUUCAUUAAUAGAAAAAUCAGAGUUCCUUUGUGGUACAUCUGGUUAAGGAUCUGGUGUCACUGCAGUGGCAUGGGUUGCUGCUGUGGCAUGGGUUUGAUCUGGGAAUUUCUACAUGCUGUGGGUGUGGCAAGAAGAAAAAAAGAAAAUUAAGAAAUCACCAUUGCUUACCUAUUUAUAAGAAGUUUCUGGGAGUUCACUAGCAGCUUAGUGGGUUAAGGAUCUGGCAUUGUCACUGCUGUAGCUCUGGUUACUUCUGUGGCCCAGGUUUGAUCCCUGGACCAGGAAUUUCCACAUGCCAUGGAUGUGGUCCCUCCAAAAAAAAGUUCCUAAAAUGUACCUCUGAAAGACAUAUAUAUGCAAAUUAAUAAGGGUUUGAUGAACAGAUGGAAUGACAAAACUUUUGUGGUGUUUGUGUAAUUCUCUUCAUUUCCCAUCAGACUUAUUAUAAGUGAUAUAAAACUUGGAUGAUACACAUAUGC
ensembl:lncRNA